rnacentral:rRNA from 1 species
UACGAAGGGGGCGAGCGUUGUUCGGAAUCACUGGGCGUAAAGGGCGCGUAGGCGGCCCUUCUUGUCGCGUGUGAAAGCCCCGGGCUCAACCCUGGGAAUGGCGCGCGAGACGGGGGCUGGAGUUCGGGAGAGGAGCGUGGAAUUCCCAGUGUAGAGGUGAAAUUCGUAGAUAUUGGGAAGAACACCGAUGGCGAAGGCAGGUCUCUGGGCAUUAACUGACGCUG